GACGUAGGGCGCGAGCGUUGUCCGGAUUUAUUGGGCGUAAAGGGCUCGUAGGUGGCUUAGUAAGUCGGGUGUGAAACCUCCAGGCUCAACCUGGAGACGCCACCCGAUACUGCUAUAGCUUGAGUCCGGUAGGGGAGCGUGGAAUUCCUGGUGUAGCGGUGAAAUGCGCAGAUAUCAGGAGGAACACCGGUGGCGAAGGCGGAUCUCUGGGCCAUUACUGACGCUGAGGAGCGAAAGCGUGGGGAGCGAACAGG
rnacentral:rRNA from 1 species